GCGCGGGUGGCGGAAUUGGUAGACGCGCACGUUUGAGGGGCGUGUGGAGCAAUCCAUGUGGGUUCAAGUCCCACCCCGCGCA
rnacentral:tRNA from 1 species